rnacentral:rRNA from 1 species
AUUGAACGCUGGCGGCAUGCUUUACACAUGCAAGUCGAACGGUAACAGGCCGCAAGGUGCUGACGAGUGGCGAACGGGUGAGUAAUGCAUCGGAACGUGCCCAGUCGUGGGGUAUAACUACUCGAAAGAGUAGCUAAUACCGCAUACGAUCUAUUGAUGAAAGCGGGGGACCGUAAGGCCUCUCGCGAUUGUAGCGGCCGAUGUCAGAUUAGGUAGUUGGUGGGGUAAAGGCUCACCAAGCCAACGAUCUGUAGCUGGUCUGAGAGGACGACCAGCCACACUGGGACUGAGACACGGCCCAGACUCCUACGGGAGGCAGCAGUGGGGAAUUUUGGACAAUGGGCGCAAGCCUGAUCCAGCAAUGCCGCGUGCAGGAAGAAGGCCUUCGGGUUGUAAACUGCUUUUGUACGGAACGAAACGGCUCUGGUUAAUACCCGGGGCUAAUGACGGUACCGUAAGAAUAAGCACCGGCUAACUACGUG